AGAUUGAUGAUGCCUCCAUCAACACCAUUCCGUGGAAAGCUGAACAAAAAGAGUGAGAACUCACUAUAGUCAUUCUCAUCGAAAUUGAGAUCC
ensembl:snoRNA SNORD116 Small nucleolar RNA SNORD116